rnacentral:sRNA from 1 species
UAAAAAUCUUCUUGUAUGACUCGCGUGA